AUGAACGCUGGCGGCGUGCCUAAUACAUGCACGUCGAGCGAACAGAUGAGGAGCUUGCUCCUCUGACGUUAGCGGCGGACGGGUGAGUAACACGUGGAUAACCUACCUAUAAGACUGGGAUAACUCCGGGAAACCGGAGCUAAUACCGGAUAAUAUAUUGAACCGCAUGGUUCAAUAGUGAAAGACGGUUUUGCUGUCACUUAUAGAUGGAUCCGCGCCGCAUUAGCUAGUUGGUAAGGUAACGGCUUACCAAGGCAACGAUGCGUAGCCGACCUGAGAGGGUGAUCGGCCACACUGGAACUGAGACACGGUCCAGACUCCUACGGGAGGCAGCAGUAGGGAAUCUUCCGCAAUGGGCGAAAGCCUGACGGAGCAACGCCGCGUGAGUGAUGAAGGUCUUCGGAUCGUAAAACUCUGUUAUUAGGGAAGAACAAAUGUGUAAGUAACUAUGCACGUCUUGACGGUACCUAAUCAGAAAGCCACGGCUAACUACGUG
rnacentral:rRNA from 1 species